rnacentral:lncRNA from 1 species
CAAUUAUGAUUUCAUAUCGUUAAUUAUCAAGCUAUUAUUAUCUGCUGCAUGUUUUUGAUAUUUCUUAUCUAUUGAAAUUGGAUUGAUUUUUUGUUAGGUGAACCUCUCGCUUUAGAUUGUUUGGGGUGGGAUAGCGAGGGGUUGUAUUUGUUAGUUGGGGAUCAUAAUUCACUGAGUAACAUUAGGUUACUCAUCCAACUUCGUUGUCCUUUUCGCAGGUAGCUUAGGUAUGGAUGAUCGGAUAGCUGGGUGCUGGACGUUAGGACCACCGGUGUAGAUUUUCAUGCCUUUUGUAAACGGUAUUGUGGAUUUGUGUUUAGUUGACUCGAUUUUGGCAUUAGGCCGGGACCGGUCUCGAUUAUAUCAAUGUAGGAUAUUUCUCGAAUCAAUAAAGUAAUUGUUUUAUAUGUGCUACAUGAGUACUCUGAUAUUUGACUAUUCCGGCAUAACACAAUGUUACGUCGUAGUACGGGUUGAAAAGCCUUAGGCCUUGAUCUAACAGAAAAC